ACUCCUGGCAAAAGAAGACCAAGACAGGGCCGUCACAGGGAGCUGGAGGCUCGGUGCGGGCCCAGACACAGCCAGGGAACAGCUUCAGGGUGUCUACAUCUGGGAGGGGGCGAAACUAAGGUGACAGAAGUCAGAAGGGUGCUGGCCUUCGGUAGGGAUGGCCUGGGAAGGGGCUGGCCGGAGGCAUUGACGAGGGGAACUGCCCAGGUGAUGGAAAUGUGCUGGGUCUUCGUCGGCUCGUGGGUCACACGGGUGCAAACACUACUCUUAUACUAAAA